CAGUCGCCGCGGUAAUACGUAGGGUGCGAGCGUUAAUCGGAAUUACUGGGCGUAAAGCGUGCGCAGGCGGUUUUGUAAGACAGGCGUGAAAUCCCCGGGCUCAACCUGGGAAUGGCGCUUGUGACUGCAAAGCUAGAGUGCGGCAGAGGGGGAUGGAAUUCCGCGUGUAGCAGUGAAAUGCGUAGAUAUGCGGAGGAACACCGAUGGCGAAGGCAAUCCCCUGGGCCUGCACUGACGCUCAUGCACGAAAGCGUGGGGAGCAAACAGGAUUAGAUACCCCCGUAGUCCCUUCUCUUAUACA
rnacentral:rRNA from 1 species